GUCACGUUUAAUAGCAGCUUCGUCAACUUCGUCUUCGCCUCCAUGCUCACUUCAGCCAUCCUCCUGCCUCCGAGCAAGUCAGGUAGCGUAUUUGGACGCCUAAUCCUCGGCUCCGGCACAUCCAACGGUACCCUCCCGUGGAAAGAUGACGCCUUCCCUGUUAGCCUGUUCCUCCGCUUCUUCUCCGAGUCCUGUCCUUUCCGGUUAGUCUUCGUUGUCGUCGGCAUAGUACAUCAAUAAAGUAUAUCGCAAAAAUAUUUCUGAAAAAUAAAAUUCCCCUGUGCUUCUUCGUGUGGCGUUUGAGCGAUCACCGAUUACCUCAAACGGCGGUAGCGGAAGAAUCGGAGGCGAGGGAAACCGAGAGCUGUGAAGGAGCGGCGGCUCUCAGGUUUCCGGUGAGCAGCAAGGACCAUAACCUGAAUGGUACGAGUGUAAACAAAAGGAAAACCCAAAGCAAAGCAAGUAAAAAAGAAGCAGAGGCGGAAACGGAAGUUAUGAACGCAGCUGAGCCAGCGAAGGGGUGUUUAUAUGGACAAGGAAUGGAGAGCGCAGGAUAAGAAACUGGCAAUACCGGCUACCGCCAGUUGUAAAAGUUAAUUUGGGGCUGAACAUUUGUAGGUCAGCAGUCAUCUUGGACUAUAAAUGACCGGGUAUUGGCGGUGGCCAACUCGGGUCUGGUGUUUCAGUUUAACGGUUAUUUGCUAAUGUACGCGGGAGUAGUAAGAAGAGGUGGUCCGAAGGUGUAGGUUGGGGCCGUCUGAGGGGGCCAUGUGGUAGAUGG
rnacentral:misc_RNA from 1 species